UCCUACGGGAGGCAGCAGUGGGGAAUAUUGGACAAUGGGCGCAAGCCUGAUCCAGCAAUGCCGCGUGGGUGAAGAAGGUUUUCGGAUUGUAAAGCCCUUUUGGCGGGGACGAUGAUGACGGUACCCGCAGAAUAAGCUCCGGCUAACUUCGUGCCAGCAGCCGCGGUAAUACGAAGGGGGCUAGCGUUGCUCGGAAUGACUGGGCGUAAAGGGCGCGUAGGCGGACUGCACGGUCAGGCGUGAAAUUCCUGGGCUUAACCUGGGGACUGCGUCUGAGACGUGUGGUCUAGAGUGAGGAAGAGGGUCGUGGAAUUUCCAGUGUAGAGGUGAAAUUCGUAGAUAUUGGAAAGAACACCGGUGGCGAAGGCGGCGACCUGGUCCUUUACUGACGCUGAGGCGCGAAAGCGUGGGGAGCAAACAGGAUUAGAUACCCUGGUAGUCCACGCUGUAAACGAUGUGUGCUUGAUGUUGGGGUGCUUAGCACUUCAGUGUCGGAGCUAACGCGGUAAGCACACCGC
rnacentral:rRNA from 1 species